UGAGGAAUAUUGGACAAUGGGCGCAAGCCUGAUCCAGCCAUGCCGCGUGAGUGAUGAAGGCCCUAGGGUUGUAAAACUCUUUUAGUGGGGAAAAUAAUGAUGGUACCCACAGAAAAAGCUCCGGCUAACUUCGUGCCAGCAGCCGCGGUAAUACGAAGGGAGCUAGCGUUACUCGGAAUCACUGGGCGUAAAGCGCAUGUAGGCGGAACUAUAAGUCAGGGGUGAAAUCCCGGAGCUCAACUCCGGAAUUGCCUUUGAAACUGUAGUUCUUGAGUAUGGUAGAGGAUGGUGGAAUUUCCAGUGUAGAGGUGAAAUUCGUAGAUAUUGGAAAGAACACCGGUGGCGAAGGCGGCCAUCUGGGCCAUUACUGACGCUGAGAUGCGAAAGCGUGGGGAGCAAA
rnacentral:rRNA from 1 species